AAAGUGUCACGGCGGUGGUGGUGAAGGACACGAAGAAGCUGGCCUCCAGGGUUACAAAUUGGUGCCCUUGUGUUCAAAAGUAGCUCUGCAAAGCACUUUGGAUGCUCAGAAAUUGAAUUGCCCUAUCCAUGUUAGAUUCAAGAAAAGGUUUUGCAAAUUGACUGAUUAAUGUGUCCCCUUUUUUACCGCAGUAAAAAAAAUGGUUCAUCACUGGUUAUUCAAGGAUCAAAAUGGAACAUGGAAGGUUACGGUUAAAACACGGAUUGGAUUUCAUGGGGAUGUCUGUAAUACAUUGGCUGACUUAAAGUAGUUUCGGUUCAAUUGUCGCGUACAAAUACGUCAA